rnacentral:lncRNA from 9 species
CCAGGAAGGCCCUGCAGUGUCCUGAUGAAACAAGAAAAAGAAGUGGAGAGAAGAGAGAAAGGAGGGGAAGCAAAAGGAGAGUGGUCAUCCCUAGUGUGUUGACUUUUGCCCACAUGCUUGCUGCCUCGUGGUUACCAAAUGGUAUUUGCAUCUCCAGGGAGUAUGUGCAAUUGCUGCACAGAAAGAAGAGGAAAGGAAAGGCUUCAUUUUGGAAGGCUUUGUCUUCUUAUGAAAGAUGGGAAACUUGAGAGACAAAUCUCCAUGAAUAUUUCAGGCUGCAACAAAUACAGACAAAGGAAAGACUGCCCUUCACUUCCCCUAGUGCAUGCCCUUUAUUAGAGCCACAGUCAGAGAUCUUCAAAUGCCAGACAGAAGGUUAAGGAGGCUUCUAGUUAAAAUGCAAACUAGUUAUUACCCUGGAGGUAUUCCACAGUGAAGAGACUGAAAUCAAGCCAUGAAGAAGUUAAUCUGAAAAAAUCUUUCCACGGAAGGAUUUAUGACUUGAUCUUUGAGGAAGCAACAGCAUGAGGCUGGAUCUGGUGAUGAAAGCUUAAUGGAAGUUAUUACCCUUUCCACUCAGAUAAGAAGAUUGAAGAAGAGAAAUUGCCCCAAAUGCAGAGGCAAGAUAAGAAUCUAAGCAGGUGGCCUCUGAGCCCAACUCCCUGACCACCACAUUCAGUUAGUUUCUAUAAGUGAGAUGAUGCUUGUCAAAGCACCGCCCAUAGAUGAGAUGCCCAGUGGAUGCUCAAUUCCUUUUCUUUCCAAAGAACUUCAUGAGCCAUACUCUGAGACACCUGGGGGAUUUUGCUAUCCCAGAAAACACAGUAAAGAUUUCUCAAGUUCCCUUUUCCCCUUGAGAGACGUGGCCCCACAGUUCCCCAUAUUUCAACCAGAGACGCGCUUGUCAAAAGAGAGGCACUCAGAUAUCAUCACUGCUGUUCCUCAGAAGCAAAUAGUGGGAAAGGUCGUUCAUCCUUGA